UACGUAGGUGGCGAGCGUUGUCCGGAAUUACUGGGCGUAAAGGGUGCGUAGGCGGUAUAUUAAGUCAGAUGUGAAAUUCCGGGGCUCAACUUCGGAAUUGCAUUUGAAACUGGUAGGCUAGAGUGCAGGAGAGGAAAGCGGAAUUCCUAGUGUAGCGGUGAAAUGCGUAGAUAUUAGGAAGAACACCAGUGGCGAAGGCGGCUUUCUGGACUGUAACUGACGCUGAGGCACGAAAGCGUGGGGAGCAAACAGG
rnacentral:rRNA from 1 species